GAUGAACGCUGGCGGCGUGCCUAAUACAUGCAAGUCGAGCGAACAGACGAGGAGCUUGCUCCUCUGACGUUAGCGGCGGACGGGUGAGUAACACGUGGAUAACCUACCUAUAAGACUGGGAUAACUUCGGGAAACCGGAGCUAAUACCGGAUAAUAUAUUGAACCGCAUGGUUCAAUAGUGAAAGACGGUUUUGCUGUCACUUAUAGAUGGAUCCGCGCCGCAUUAGCUAGUUGGUAAGGUAACGGCUUACCAAGGCAACGAUGCGUAGCCGACCUGAGAGGGUGAUCGGCCACACUGGAACUGAGACACGGUCCAGACUCCUACGGGAGGCAGCAGUAGGGAAUCUGCCGCAAUGGGCGAAAGCUUGACGGAGCAACGCCGCGUGAGUGAUGAAGGUCUUCGGAUCGUAAAACUCUGUUAUUAGGGAAGAACAAAUGUGUAAGUAACUAUGCACGCCUUGACGGUACCUAAUCAGAAAGCCACGGCUAACUACGUG
rnacentral:rRNA from 1 species